GACAGAUUGGGACUUAUGCGGGGUGUUGGGGAGGAGAACUUAAUUAGACAAGGUUAUUUAAGGAGAAACUUAUUGAAGUUGGAAAGGAAUGGCAAGUCUACAAGGGGUACAAGAUUGGUGAGAGAUAACAAUAAGUGCUUCUGUGCUCAGUAGAGCACCGGGAAGGCCAGUCUGAUAGGGAGCUGAUGUGCCUCUUAACACAAGGAACACAAACUCAUUAUCUGGAUGCCUGUAGGCAAAGUGGGGAAAGCUCCCAGGCCAAGCAGAGCAGGAGAUAUGCAUAAAUCCUGCUUCUUAGGGGAGCCUCCUGCCUCCACGUGGCUUUCUUUUGUUUGCGUGGUUUUGUUUAUGAGCUAAAUUAUCUCAGGUAGUCCAAGCUGACCUUGAAUGUCACAUCUGCUUGUCCCUCCAGCUCCCCGAGGGCUGGGAUCCCAGGUGUGCAGCUGGUGCUGGCCUCCUGUUUCUCUUCAGACAGAGCUUCCUUCCACUUUCUUGUUAACAUUCAGCCCCGUUCUCUUCCCGGUGCUGUGGCACAUGGCAUCUGAGAUGACAGGGUCACACUCUGGGCAAAGACCUAGACAAAUUUCAGAACAGAGUUGAAGAGGCAGUGGGGGUGGGGGUGGGGGUGGGGUGGGGGUGGGGUGAAAUGGAGGGCGGGCAAGUGAGUAAAGGAAACAGGUUGUGUUCAGACUAUUGUGGGAGGGGAAGUUUGCCUGGCAUGAAGGUCAAAGUCUCUCAUCAGGGGGCCUCCCUUUAAACCUUUCGGCCCUUCCCUGUCUGCAAAGCCAACCUCCUCCAAUCAACAAAACACCUAACCCGUUGUAUAAAAAGUAUUGUCUGAUACUACUUUGCGAUUAAAAAUGGAUGUAAAUGAAAGGAAAUGUGAUGUGAUUUCGUCAUUAGACGCUGUCUUAGUUACUAUUCCUUGCUGUGAAGAGACACCAUGACCAAGGCAACAUAUAAAGGACAGCAUCCAGUCGGUAGUACUGGAGGAGUGGCUGAGAUCUCACAUCCUCAUCCACAAGCAGGAGGCGUACGGAGAGAGCAAGACUGGACCUAGCAUGGACUUUUGAAACCCCAAAGCCCACUCUCAGUGACAUACCUCCCCCUAGAAGGCCACAUCUCCUAAUCCUUCCUAACAGCCCAUCAGCUGGAAACCAGUUGCUGAAGAGGCUUUGUAGAAAUUAACGUUCAUCCUAUCUCUGGGCAUCCAUAAUUUGACUUUUAUUUUUCUCUAUAAAUGAGAGGGGAGGUA
rnacentral:lncRNA from 1 species